UUGUACAUUUUUGUAGUUUAUUUUGUACAUUUUGUAGACAAUCCUCCUACUAAUGGAAACUCGGAAGCAUUUGCAAAUGUCAAAAAGGCAGAAGGUAACCAAGAUGACAAACGAAGGCAUCCUGGCUCCAAAGUGAGAUGCACAGUGAGUAAAUUAAUUUCUGGAGAAUCCAGUUUCUGAUUAAAAGCAGUGAAUAGUGCUGGGGAAGUUAUAUUGUUCAGUUGGCCCAUUCAUCAUUCAUUUCACUUUGGAUGAAUAUAUGUUUCUACUUCCUGUCAAGAUAGAGAGUAACUAUACCUGCACAAUCAUUUUUGUGUUUUCUUAUUUGCUUGUGUUUAUUUGUAGUCUGGAGCUCAUUCAAUGAAGUGUGAAAGUGCACCAAUUCCAAGCCCUCCUUCUCAAUGUGGUACACCUGUGGUAACCUGCAAGGGUCCAACCUGCAUUGCUGUUAGUUGGGAGAUUCCUGUAUGUAAUGGUGCCAAAAUCACAGAUUACAGACUAGAGUGGGG